CUGUUGAUGAUUGACACAGCCUUGAUACUACUGACAUGCGUCUCCAACAGUCCACCAAAGAUUGGCUUAUUCAAACGAAACCAUUUCCUAAAUCCGCCACGUUUUAUUUUUUCGUUGAACCCUCUAAUGUUCCAACAAAAAAUAUCCAUAGAGGGAGAAAAUUCAGAGGUUUUAGUACUCCCUUUCCUUCUCCCCUUAAUAAAGACUAACAUGUGGGGCGUGGGAUACAAGUCAAGUAUCAAAGAGAAAUACAUUUUAUUUUCAGUACCAUUCAUAUAACCCUUUUGCUAACUCAUAAUUAUGUGGAGUAUCAAGUCAUGAUAUGAUGGCUAAGGCUCUUCCCAUCUGCUCACGUAACAUGAGAUUCCUACAUUUUCUUUGUAUAUCUAUUUGUUUUUUUUUUUUGAACUGAAGUGUAUAUAUCUGUUUGUUACAAGAAGAUACUCUACGGAAAAAGACAAGACUACCUCGCUGAACCUGUAAGGUUAGCAUAUUCUCUAUUUCCAAGUAUUUAUACUCUUGAUUCUCUUCUUCUUCCUGUACCAGAAGAUAGAUUCUCAUCAAUGGAAAAUCCUAACAAGAAAAAGUUUGCUUGGUUGAUAAAGAACUUCUCCUUUUGCCAUCUGACAAGCUUUAUUCUGCACCGGUUCUGAUCAGUGGCUUCUAUUGGGAUCUUUUCACAUACCCUAAGGGAUACAAAGGUGGUGAUUCGUUGGUUGUGUCUCUCGCUGUUACUGAUGGUCAAUCAUUGCCUUCUGAAUGGGCAAGAUACGUUAAGUUUCGCUUAACUAUAGUAAAUCAACUUUCUCAUGAGCCCUCCAUACAUAGAGGCGAAUAUUUACUAGCAUCUGCUCACUAGUUCAUUCAUGUUGGUCAAAAGGGCCUUGUCAGUGUCAGUAUGACACAGGACUGAAUAGUUCAUGCAGCGCUAUAGUUGUUGUUGGUUAACUAACGGCAUGAAACAUUUUACAGAGCAAAUAUUUGGUUUGAUCAGAAAGCUCCAGGAUGGGGCUUAUCAGGAAUGCUCCCCUUUGCCAAACUCCAUGCCAAAGAUGGUGGCUUCCUGGUGAACGAUGAACUAAAGAUUGUUGCCGAAAUAGAGGCUCUUGAAGUUAUUGGCACGUUAGAUGAAUCUAAAGAUUUGCUUGAGAAGACUUGCAUAGAUGUCAAUGGGUUUCAAGUUCUUCCUUCACACGUAAGAAACUAAUUAAGAAUUGUGGAAACUUCUUUUUUCAAACGGUUUUUUACUUAGUGGGGCUUAUUGGAAUGAUGAUUUGUUAGGAUUUCGUUUUUUCUUUAAAUCAAACCUUAUUGGAUCUAGUAUUUAUAAAAAUUACCUCAAAUCCUUGAUUAUUGGAUUUAUCAUUUCAAAAAAAUUCCAUCAAAUCCCCUCUUAUUGGAAAAUUAGGAUUUCAUCUAAUAAAAUAUACCCAGAAUUAUUUGGAAUUAUUUGAAAAUGAUUUCUAGUUACAAUCUAAUGAACAUAAAUUCCAUCUCAUGAGUUAAAGAAGUCUUACUUUUUCUCUCAGCCUUUAUGUUUCUUCCUAUGAAAAUCAAAAGAACUCAUUUCAGAACUAGGUCUAAGGAAUGAAUACGAAAAUGACCCGAAAAAGGAUUCAAACCACAAAGCUAGAUAAUGAUAUGGAACAGAAACGAUAGUCUUACCGUAAGUUUCUGGGUUCUUCAAGUUUCACUUUCAGACAAAGCUAUAAGGCUUUAGAAGCCACUUGAUUCAAGCUUAUAGAUUGAUAUUGGAAGAUUCCCGUCACCAUCUGUUUUGGUCUCUCGAGGUAAUGCUUUUUUGUCCAUGUCGGUUAUAUCCUCUCACGAGUCUCUACAAUCUCCAUUGAUUCAUUCUUUUGCUUAAUUAGAAAGCAUUUCGUUCAUGAAGUUUCCAUCAUUGCUUCGAGUCUUGAUGAUCAACAAGGGACAUAACCAGAGAUGUAAUUGGGAGAACAACUAUGUUCUCAGUACGAAGUAAAGUGACCAAGAACAAAGGUGUAACCCAAAACGAUAACACGUUCAACCCUAGUUCUAGGGGUUGAACACAAUAGCUUUAAUAAAGAGUUCUUCUUUUAUUGAUGUUUAGGAAACUUCUCAAAAACUAAACAUAAAGUGUCUUCUGAUCAAACAACUCAGUGGCUUCUUGUUUUUCAA